rnacentral:rRNA from 1 species
GGACCAUCAUGUCGGUCGUGCCUCGGUACGUACUGGUAUUGUUGGUUUCUCCCUUCUGACGAACCAUGAUGUCAUUAAUUUGGUGUCAUGGGGAAUUAGGACUGUUACUUUGAAAAAAUUAGAGUGUUUAAAGCAGGCUCACGCUUGAAUACAUUAAUGGAAUAAUGAAAUAGGAUGUUUGAUUCUAUUUUGUUGGUUUCUAGGAUCGACAUA